AAGAUCAUUAGAUCAGAUAUGACCUUUACUUUUGCACUGCUCUGGAACUGAUCCUGUGGAUUUCAUUCCUCCCGAAGAACAGUUUACCAGCAUGCCCUUGCACCAGAAGCUGUUAAAGGAAAGGCAGUAGAAGAGGCAUUCCUAGGAUAUGGCUCCAUCUUAUGGAAAGCUCUGGCAGACCUAAAGACUUGAUGGCUCUGUGGAUACAGAAGAAGCUGUUGAAACUUCUGAAAAAAACACCCCAUUAUUUGCAGGCAAGCCAUUGGACCAUCACCCAAGACCUGGUGAAAUCAAUAACAUUCUUUACGAAAGUAGACUAAGCUGGCUCAUGAAAUAACUUGAUCCUACUAAUAUUAUUACCUGUUCUGUUCUAGUUUGCUUUGCCACUUGGACUUUAGUGUUACUCCUUCUGGACUGAAUCAUCAGGAAGAAAAAAAGAAAGAGCAGUGGAAAUGAGAAAACUAGCAGUGUUCUAUAAAUACAACAAUAUUUACAAGACAGCCCUGGAAAUAAAAUGCUUUUUAUGUUAUGUAAACACCUCAGGUGACUCCUGACUUGGACUUGUAUGGUUUGCACAAAAUUGUUUGCUCAUAUCUGCAUUUUUGUUAGAUCAUUCAAUCAAAGAAACAUCCGAAAUCCUUUCCCAACAAACUUCGAAGUAUCUUUCAGAAAAGGAAAGAGAAGCAUCGAGGGACAAAAUAAUCACAGGACAAGUAAGACAUUGCCAUAUGUAUCUAGAGCCAUAGGUCCCAGUCCUUGAAGACAGUCAAUAAAGCACAUUGCCUUCCCUGUGUGCUUGGUUUCGCCCUUUGUGUCAUUUACAUUUGCACC